GUGGAACUUGGGAUUCGAACGGCAGGCGGGAAGUGCUCUAGCAGGGGAGUCUGACCUUGUGAGGGAAUACCUGUGUCCCCCCUUUUUUCCCCUUUUUACCCAAUAAAACCCUGCCUUACUCACCCUUUAAAUCAUCUGCGAGCCUGAAUUUUCAUGGCCGUGGGACGGACAAGAACUUUAUCUUCAGCUGAACUAAGAAAAAGUCCUGCAACAUUUUUGGCGCGCAAUGUGGGGGCACCAGAAGCGGGCACCGUUGAGCUGUUGCAACUGUUCUGCUGGAGCCUUAUGUAUGUGGUUGAAACCACCUGUACUACUGGAAUGAAAGCACCUUUACAGAAGAGGCAAUGCAAGUUGUAUUCAUCACAUGUGUAGAAUGAAUUAAGAUUUAUGCCAGUUGCAAAGAAGAAUAUUGGCUCACUAUUUUUCCUCUGGGCAUGUGGAAAUGUAAAUCAGUCCAUGUUACUCACCUCGGAGAAGCAGAAGUACGAUUUACUAUUGUUGCUUGCUUACUUACUCUUAUCAAUUUCUAUGAGAGAAGAAUUCCAAAUGUGCUACCAUCCAUGUAGUUUUACUUGAAAAACCCCCUUGGAAAUUAACAAUAAGGCACUGACUGGAGCUGAAUUUGCAAAUGUUUUAGGAAGAAACUUUAUCUCAGACUACCCUUGAUGUAUCAAAAUAUUUAAAGCAAUUGGCAAAGGCAGUGAGCAAUUCACUCUCAGGCACAUGAAUAUCACCGGGAGAGGGCUGAAUGUUCAGGGGUACAAGCAAUUUUCCAGUCUUGACCCUUUAUCUGUUGACCAAGCUAAGGCAGAAACCAGCUAAAUUCUGGAUUUAAUCUUGAGCAGCAAAAAAGAUCAGCUUUUGAAGUGGAUCUGCUUUUAUUCUUGGCAAAAGUUCAGCGGAGACCAACCAGAGUGGUGACAAAGUUCUUCAACAUCAAGCCAAAUGUAAUACAAGGAAUUACGGAUAGUGCUUAAUCUAAAAUAAAGAAAUUCCACAUCUCCCUAAAAAGUUAUUGGCUUCAAGAAUGAAAACAAAAGAAGCAUAUUUGUCUCAAUCCAAACACAGACACCAGAAAGACAAACCAGGAGUAUACAGCAAAGUAGCUUGCAGGAUAAUACAUUGAAAAAUGUAAUUGUGCAUAAAUCAUGCACAAAGUAGAAACCACAAAUUCUGUAUUUGGCAAGGCUUCGGUUCCUUUGCAUAAUUCUUUCAUUUUCAUCUUGCUGCUUCCAUUCUCUUUUCAUCAAAAAAAGCUACAUAAAACAAAGACAUAAACUGUAUGCAAUUAAAAUGAGAAAAUAGCUGAAAGGAAUGUAUUGAUAAUUAUGUUAAAAUCUAUACCAUAAGUAUUCUUGCAUUGUUAAGCAUCUAAUUUUUCAUGUGUUGACAUCAGCAUCUCAGUUCUCUCUAACAUCUGAAAGCUUUUUUUUUUAAGGCAACUUCUUUUAGAGUGAACAAACUUAUGUACCACCGAGUUGACAAAAGUAUAACUAUAUCCUACAGAAAGAGACCUCAAGUAAACCUCCAGCAGCCAUCUGGACUUCCAUGAAAACAGAACAAUCAGUGAGAUGCAGAGCUUGGAGGAGACAGUUUCCAUAGACUGAAGCACGUGCUGAAGCAAAGUUCACACUUGCAGGAUUAGAAGAGGUUGACCGAAAGAAGGAAGGACAUGGACAGCUAUGUUGUUGUGGAGUCCUGUUUUAUAGUCAUAACCUUGAGUCAAGUGAGUUUGUCUGGACAGACAGAGCUUGUUGCCUUUACUUAUAGGGAAGGCACCGGACACAGACAGCCUCAAGGACAUUUGUUCUAGCCUUUCAGUAUCCUUUCUCUUAAUUAUCUCACCUCAUCCAUGAAGCUGGUAUGUACGAUUUUUCCUUUCUUUCUCAAUCCUUUAAAAAAUUAAAGCUCUAAAUCUCAUUUCCACUUAGAUUUUAAUGUUGCAUUGUAACUUAAGAUAAAACCUUGCUCUGAUGUUAAAAAUACUAAAGUAAGAAGCAAUAUGGCAUAGUGCUUAUGAGCAGGACUACAUAGUUCUUUCUGAAUACAAAUCUCAGAUAAAACACUAUCUCAGUGAUCAACCAGGUUAAGCAACCUUUUUAGUGCCUCAAUUAUUCCAUUUGUAAAAUUGUAAUAAUGAUAGUACUAACCUAUAAGAUUGUGGUGAGGAUUAAGUCAGAUAAUACAAAAGAAGCAUUUAGAGUAUUUCCUGGCAUUAUCUACCAUUUAUUGAAUUUUUAUGGUUAAGAAGAAUAAGGAAAAGCAGAAGAAAAGGAAAAGAGAAAAAAUACAUAAGAAGAAGGAAGAGUGGUAAGCUCUAGUAAAUUACAACAAACGGUAACGUAGAAAACAUUUGUUAGCCCUUAAUAUAGGCCAGGCACUGUGUUCAAUGCUUAAACCUCAUUACUGUUCUUUGAAGUGGAUAACAUUAUUCCUUCCAUUUUAAAGAAAGGAAUACUAAAGACAACUUUGUCAAUAUUAUUCAUGUAAUAAAUGACAGAAUUUGACCAAGACAAUAGAGAAUGAACUCUUAAUCACUAUAUUGUUUUAUUUUUUGAAAAUAGAUUUUAAGUUCUUAUUAAAUGUUAAUGACUCACAUCAAAAUAAAGCCAAUCAAAAUUGACAGCAAU
rnacentral:lncRNA from 10 species